GAGCAACCUGUCCCAGACAGGGGGAUAACACUUGGAAACAGGUGCUAAUACCGCAUAAGGACCACGGGGUCACAUGGCCCAGGGGGUAAAAAGGAGGAAUCCGGUUUGGGGUGGGCUCGCGUCCGGAUUAGAUAGUUGGUGAGGUAAAGGCCCACCAAGUCGACGAUCGGUACGCCGACCUGAGAGGGUGAUCGGCCACAUUGGAACUGAGAGACGGUCCAAACUCCUACGGGAGGCAGCAGUGGGGAAUAUUGGGCAAUGGGCGAAAGCCUGACCCAGCAACGCCGCGUGAGUGAAGAAGGCCUUCGGGUUGUAAAGCUCUGUUAUAGUUGACGAAGGAAGUGACGGUAGGCUAUAAGGAAGCCCCGGCUAACUACGUGCCAGCAGCCGC
rnacentral:rRNA from 1 species